rnacentral:rRNA from 1 species
GAUGAACGCUGGCGGCGUGCCUAAUACAUGCAAGUCGAGCGAAUGGAUUAAGAGCUUGCUCUUAUGAAGUUAGCGGCGGACGGGUGAGUAACACGUGGGUAACCUGCCCAUAAGACUGGGAUAACUCCGGGAAACCGGGGCUAAUACCGGAUAACAUUUUGAACCGCAUGGUUCGAAAUUGAAUGGCGGCUUCGGCUGUCACUUAUGGAUGGACCCGCGUCGCAUUAGCUAGUUGGUGAGGUAACGGCUCACCAAGGCAACGAUGCGUAGCCGACCUGAGAGGGUGAUCGGCCACACUGGGAAUGAGACACGGCCCAGACUCCUACGGGAGGCAGCAGUAGGGAAUCUUCCGCAAUGGACGAAAGUCUGACGGAGCAACGCCGCGUGAGUGAUGAAGGCUUUCGGGUCGUAAAACUCUGUUGUUAGGGAAGAACAAGUGCUAGUUGAAUAAGCUGACACCUUGACGGUACCUAACCAGAAAGCCACGGCUAACUACGUGCCAGCCGCCGCAGUAA